ACACUACUCUAAUGUAUCCCCAAUAAAAAUUAUUAGUCUCUUUGUAAGCUCCUGACCUUUGUCUAAGAUUCAGACCCAAAAAUGACACUACUCUAAUGUAUCCCCAAAUCAAAAUUAUUUGUCUCUUUGUAAGCUCAUGACCUUCUCUAAGAUUCAGACCCAAAAAUGACACUACUCUAAUAUAUGUAACCACUGAUGUUUUCUCAUGAUAAAAUGGAUUACUCCUAAUUAUUAAUUCACACAUGUAUCCUUGGAAUAGUCUACAAUUUGCUGAUGCCUAUAUGAUGCAUAACAACGAAGGUAAAGCACGCUCAGCUAGACCAUUAGUGUAUGACAAAACAUGGACUACUGUACAGCUCACAUAC
rnacentral:lncRNA from 1 species